UAGGGAAUUUUCGGCAAUGGGGGAAACCCUGACCGAGCAACGCCGCGUGAGCGAAGAAGGCCUUCGGGUCGUAAAGCUCUGUUGUAAAGGAAGAACGGCGCAUACAGGAAAUGGUAUGCGAGUGACGGUACUUUACCAGAAAGCCACGGCUAACUACGUGCCAGCAGCCGCGGUAAUACGUAGGUGGCGAGCGUUAUCCGGAAUCAUUGGGCGUAAAGAGGGAGCAGGCGGCCGCAAGGGUCUGUGGUGAAAGACCGAAGCUAAACUUCGGUAAGCCAUGGAAACCGGGCGGCUAGAGUGCGGAAGAGGAUCGUGGAAUUCCAUGUGUAGCGGUGAAAUGCGUAGAUAUAUGGAGGAACACCAGUGGCGAAGGCGACGGUCUGGGCCGCAACUGACGCUCAUUCCCGAAAGCGUGGGGAGCAAAUA
rnacentral:rRNA from 1 species